rnacentral:rRNA from 1 species
UACGUAGGCGCAAGCGUUGUCCGGAAUUACUGGGUGUAAAGCGCGUGUAGGCGGCAGACCAAGUCGGCGGUGAAAGCGCCCGGCUCAACUGGGCGAGGUCCGUGGAAACUGGUCAGCUGGAGGACGGUAGAGGCGAGUGGAAUUCCCGGUGUAGUGGUGAAAUGCGUAGAGAUCGGGAGGAACACCGGUGGCGAAGGCGGCCACCUGGACGGUAACUGACGCUGAGACGCGAAAGCGUGGGGAGGCAAACAGGAUA